rnacentral:snRNA from 1 species
GUCGGCAGCACAUAUUCUAAAACUGGAAAGAUACAGAGAAGAUUAGCACGGCCACUGUGCAAGGAUGACACGCAAAUCUGUGAAGCAUUCCAUAUUUUU